CCGCGGUGAAUAUGUUCCUGAGCCUUGUACACCCCGCCCGUCAAGCCACGAAAGCCGGGGGCGCCCGAAGUCGUUUGCCUAACCGUAAGGAGGGCGGCGCCGAAGGCGAAACCGGUGAUUGGGACUAAGUCGAAACAAGGUAGCCGUAGGGGAACCUGCGGCUGGAUCACCUCCUU
rnacentral:rRNA from 1 species